UUUCCAAGUUUAGCCGAGUGCGGUUUUGAGUUUUCUUGACAGUGGCUGAACGCCGAUGCUGACAACAUCUCUUCCUUGAGCUGAGCUUCAGGCAGCGAUCCUGAAUUUCUGAAUUGGGAACAAAGAAUUAUGUUUCAUUUGAUUAAGUCUGGUAAAGAUAACAAUAAAUGAAAGAGAUGGGUAGAUUAGCAGUUGCAGUGAUAGUGAGCUUGUGGGUAAUUCCCUUUUUUUUUUGGCUACUUCUUUUUCUUUCAAGGUGCUGUCUUUCACUUGCCUAUCUUGCUUGUUGGUUUCCAGGCAUGUAUCUUGUGCAAAAGGUGUCAUUGUUUCAUGAAGUGUGUUCUGCUGCAAUGCUACGCACUAUGAAUGUUGUUUUGGCGGUAUUGUGGAGCAUCAUUUUAUAUGAGAUAAUCACCUACUUGAGACCAACUCUUGAUAAAGGAAAAGCAACUUUUUUGGCUGUGAUCCUAGCCCUGUAUCCCUUCCUCUGGUUCUUCACUUUUCUUGACUAUACUGAUGUUGCAUAACUUGCUGUAAUGCUCGCUAUGUAUCUCACAUGCUUGAAGAAGAAAUAUCACUGAGUGCAUUGGUAAAGGAGUUGUCUCAAUUGUCAUUGUAUUGGAUGACUACACGACUAGCUUUCCAGAUACUACUUAAGACAGUAUGGUAGAAUCCCUUAUAGAGCAUUCUCUCCUCUCCUGCUUUAUACUUUUAUAAGAAGAGGAAAGUUUUUGAGUGAAUAUAGUGACGAGCUUUUAAGCUUACAAUUCUUUCAAGUGAUCUUUUUCAGAAUGAAAAUCUCAACUAAAGGGUUAUAAUCUCUGAUGCUUUCUAAAAUUUGGGUCUGCUAGGAAAGGUUGAAUAACACUUUAUGUUUCGCCACUAGAAACCAAUCAUGGGCUACACUUGGAUGCCUAGUCUAUGAGGGAAUGUUGUGAGUUGUGAUGCCUUGGGCCUAGUAAUUUCAAUCAAACAUUUUGUUAAGCAUUCCACAUCGGUUAGAUAUAUGGAUAAUAUGCCCCUUAUAAAGACUUGGGUAAUCUUUCCCUCUUAAGCAAGCUUUUAAGGUUGAGUUAGCCUCAUCCCUUCUCUCUAUGUGGUGUUAGAACCUCUCAAACCAAUAUUUAAGCCUCCCAUAAGUGUUUCACGCACCAAGCAUUAGCCUUGGGUGUGAGGGGUGUGUGUUAAGUAUCCUACAUCGGUUAGGCAUGUGAGUAAUGUGCCCCUUAUAAAGACUUGAGUAGUCUGCCCCCUUUGAGCUAACUUUUGGGAUUGAGUUUAGACCUAGUCCAUUUUCCCUACACAUUUCAAUGUCAUCAUUUAUAUCUCAAAACAAACAGUGUUGUCACAUAACUAUAUGCUCAUGAAUAUGCGUUUGGCUCCUUUUUGACUUUGAGUUGUUAAAAGUUUUCUGUGUUGCUUGAGGACCAACACCUCUCAAGUAGAGACCCAAGUAGCAUUACUUUAGUAACCUUGAGGUCUUAGUCUUUGGGGUUGGUUGUUAGAUGCAUUAUCAACUUAGAGAUGCUAAAUUUGAAGAAUUGAUUGGGAAAUGAUCUGCAGCAACUUGAAUGGAAGAAAUUCAACUUUUAGAACAACAUCAGCAUAUUAUGCAUUGGAUUGUAAUUUAUAGGAUAGGAGCAGCAUAUUAUGCAUUCAUUUCAUUUUUGUAAAAAUACUUUUGCACAAUUGCUGAUGGUCUAGUUUUGUGGAACUUACUAUCUCUUUUCUUUUUGCUCUUUUUGGCUUUAGCAGCUUGGUACCUUUACAGUUUUCACUCGACAAACAAAUGUUAUAGGGAUGCUUUUUGUCGCAUGCACUGGGGUAAUAGAUAUUACUCUGACCCAUCCAAGAAAUAAUGUGAAGAUAAAUGAGUUAAACGAAUCAGUGAAGGAAACUGCCUGAUUAACUCCCAAUAAUUCUUUCUCAACAAGCUCAAACAUGAGAAGACGAAAGCCAAAUGGUGUUGUGGAUGGAAGCAAAUGCUCAACAAUCACUACAAGUGUCUCCUCAACAACCCAAUCUUCAGGUUUUAAUCUGCAUUAUGUAAGGUUUUCUUGAUGAGAUUCAGGAAAUAAGUUUGACAUCAUGGCAUAUGGAGUGGAAACUUUUUAUAUGUUCUUUAUGGUUUGGCAGCCUUCGUUGCUUUUGUCCAUUGGAAUGGGAGUGUAGUUCUUGGUGCAAAAGAAGCUCAUGCAUGUUCACCUCAUUUUGCACAGAUAAUGUAUUUUAGUGUGGUUUCUACUCUGGCAACAGCUCCUCUGCAUUUCUUUUUAAGUCAUGUUGCUAAUGUGUUCCAUUCAUUCUGGAAGAACAGACCCUUAGUUUUUUUUUCAACUGCUGGUGGCUCUUACUGCUGGCUUCCUCUAUCUGCAUUUUUUCAGCGUAGCUCAUCCUGUUCUUUUUGCUGAGAAUCGGCAUUAUACCUUCUAUCUCUGGCGGAAAGUGUCAUCAAAGGACAUUGGUUGAUGAAGUACCUUUUGGUUCCAUUUUAUAUUCAUGCAUGGUUUUCCAUCUUCAAUAUUUUGGGGAAAGUUCAACAGAAAAUGUGGGUGUUGGCAUAUUUCUUUCUACAGCUGCAGUCCUAGUUCCUGCUCCAUUAAUUGAGUUCAGAUACUAUACCAUUCUAUUUCUUGAUGCUUAAUUCCCACAUGAGAAGUAAUCAAAGUUGGAUCGUUAUUGGACUGAUGCGCGUAGUAAUCAAUAUCUUCAUAAUGAUGAUGUUAUUGUUUCGACCAUUCCAUUGGAACCACGAACCUGCGGUGCAGAGGUUUAUUUGGUAGAUGGGCUCUUGAGAGACGCUUCAUAAUAUCUCGACACAAGACUUUAAGCAAGUUACAAUUUCAUUUUUGCUUUCAAAAUUUCUAUCACUCAGCAGCCAACGCACUGCCCUUCUGGGAUGUAAUUUAGCUUCCUAACCAAUGAAACGAAAUUACUUGUAGUAAAUUGAUGACCAUGGGAUUCCAUCUAUCCCUUGAUCAUACGCUUUGAGCUGAUUCUUUUUUAACUUUCUUUCAAUGAUAAGAACUUUUUACAAAGUUUAAUAUUACUUGUACUUUGUUUUUUAUAAAAUAAUUUUUAUUUUAUUGAUAA